rnacentral:lncRNA from 1 species
ACUGGGGCUGCAGGACCGCUGGCUGCGGCGGCUGCAGGCCGAGCCAGGCAUUGAGGCCCCGUCGGGGACUGAGGCGGGCGCGCUCCUGCUCUGCGAGCCCGCGGGGCCCGUGUAUACGGCCGGGCUGCGCGGCGGCCUGACGCCCGAGGAAACUGCGCGGCUACGGGCCUUGGGCGCCGAGGAGUCCGCUGUGGAAGGCACAUCACAUCCCACGGCCU